CGGCCGGCCCAUGUGCGCGCUGCCGGCGGUCGCUCGGGUGCUGCUGCCGCUGCCGCCGCCCUGUGGGCGAAGCGCGGUACUGCAGCCCGGCGGACGGCGUAUGCGCGGCGUGUCGGGCGCGUCCCGGCAGCGGGUGGAGGUCGGGACCACCGGUGAGGCGAGCGAGCCCCUUCGGUGGUAUGCGGGGACGUCUCCUGCCCGCUGGCCACCCGAGUGUGGUGGGACGGGAAGCUUCAAACCUCCCGCUGCCGCAGGCUCCCGGCCCGCUGGAGUCGAGCCGGGACAGCCAACCCGAGGCAGAAGAAGGAGAGGAUGCGGACACAGCACGCCACACCAAGCCCCGACCCCGCCAGGCACAGCCACCGGAUGCCUUCUCAGAUCGCCAGAGCUCUCCCCGAGCCUCUCCCGGCCCCGCUCGCCCUGUACGGCAGCCCUCGGCUCCUGCACCUCCCCUGAAGCCUGUCUCGUAGCCCCAGGUCACCCCAAGUCCUGUCGUGAAGAGGUCACGCUGAGGAUGGAGUUGUCUAUUCCUCCCUUGGGGAUGCUGUUGACUGUACCUGCCUCAGGUGUGCGUGGAUUGUCUCUGCCCGACCUCGCUCUCCUCAUGUGGGGACAAAAAGGGACAGGCAGAGCACUUGCUGGCUGUGGACAGGAGCUGCUGUGGCUGAAGCUGGAGAGGUCAGAGAAAGGUAAAGAAGUAAUUGAGGGCCAUCCAGCUGACAGACUCCCGCUGCAGACAGAGAGAGCCUGCCACCCUGGAGAGGAAGGAUCCCUCUUUGUAGUCUGUAGCAGGCCAGCCUGCCAACACGGACCACAGGGUCUAUAUGUGUCACCAACGGCCCAGUACGGCUGUAUAGUGCCCGAGUGAGCAAGGCUACGUGUCUAGGAAGCCUUGAAUUUUAAGAUCUGUGAGACACCCGUGUAUUCUCUGAGGUGAAAGAGAGCCAAGUGACUGGAGUUGCAGAAGAGGAAGGGAGGAGAGAAGGAGAAGGAAAAGCGUCUGAACUGUCAAAGCCUCCUGGCAGUGUUGUGAGUGAGAGCUGUGGUAAAGGUGCCGAGGGAUAAGAUGCAUACCAAAGUGAUGGAGGAGGUGUUAAGUGGUGAGCAAAAUGGGAUAUUGGUACCAGAGCUGACUCAGGCAAGCUGCCUUUGGAAUUGGAUGAACACUUGAGAUGAAGAAAGAGGAAGCUGGCAACUUAAAGGGACAUCCCUGUUAGCUGAUGCUGUUUUUCUGUUGACGAUGGUUUCAGACCUCUGGCCCUUUGAAAACUAUGAUGAGGGGAUCAAGGUCUGGAGAGGGGUUGGGAGGAGUUGAGUGGACAAGGUCGGGAACUGCAGGGAGGGCUAUUAAAGUUAGCGUAGGGGAGUGUACUGUCCAGGAACGGUAUCCUUUGGUCAGGCAAGGGAGUGGGUUACUUGUCAGCAUGACAAUAGUUUGUGUUGGGCAGGACAGGUUCCAGCCUGUGUCUGUGCAUGUAGCUCACGUAGUCUGUCUUGUGUCUUAUACCACACUGUCCUCGGGUUUUAAUGUCUCCAUAGCUCUUUGUCGUGAGCAGACACCUCAGUAGCCCUCCUGAGAAUCUUGAGUGCAUUGCUGCACUGGCAUAGUGCCUGUCGAGCCCUUCUUGUCUAGCAGUUGUGGCCUAAAGGAUGGAUUUGUCUGUGUUUUGCAUUGUAGAUGUUCUUGAGCGUUCACCUCUUGUGCUGACAAGCUAGGCGAUGCCUGCAACUCUUCUGUUGAGAGUUCUCUUUGCACACAGUAGUCUUCUGGGGUUUCAUCUCUGUGUCCUUAAUGAUCUUAAGUCUCAAAGCCUAGCUUCUCAGGUAUCCAUCAUUCUGGUUUUGACGGUAGCUUUCUCUCAUGGGCCACAGUAGUUGCCUCUCAUUCCGGGGCCGCUAUAGAGCAUCUGCACUGUCCUGGCACCGUUGAGCUCCUCUGCUGGUGGCAUCUUCCCUAGGAUGGCAGUUCUCUCUCGUGAUCUUCUCACAUCUCACAAUUGUGUUGUUUGUGGUGUCUGUCUGUGUCAGGGUUGGAGCUGCCCUGCCCAGGGGUGUAGCAAUACUAAAGACAGUGAUAGCAUAGCUUUAUGGUUGUAUAGUAAUAUGUUGAUCUGCCCUGAUACUUUUGGCAAAGACUGUACGGUCCAUCUCCGGGCAAAUAGCUGUAGACAGCUGCUAGAGUUGUUUUCACUGUGUUUGGCAGGUGCCAGAGGUUGGACUCUGGCCUGCUGGGAGUGGUGGUCAGUGUGGUAGUUGAGCGGGUUGAAUCUCAAAGGAGCCUUACAUUAUACGCGGGGUUCAACAUGUGGGGUUUGGUUGUUUUAGCUGUAGUUAGAAGGCAUAUGCAAAAAGAGAGACCUUUGGUCUUGUAAAGCUAUCAGUUAGUGUCUAGGUGACUACCUUCACAUGAUUUGGGUUUCUCAGAUGCAGAGUGACGAGCCGUGUGCCUCAGGGUGACAGAAGAGGUAAGCAGAGUGCUGGGCAAAGGCGGGCCAGUGUCCGAUGUCAGAGGAUAUGUGUGACUGAUGGCUCUGAUGGGCUUAUGCUGUUUCGGGUUUAUUUGCUAGGUGUGAAUAGAUGAGUGAAGUGGGAUAUCUGCACCGGAGCAGACUUUAGCAAGGUAAGUGGUGACCAGCGUGCCAAAGUAGUAGUUUUCUGAGGUGUCAUACCCACCCUAUUAUGUACAUACAUAUCCUUAUCCAAUAGGGAUAUAUAGGGAUGGGGGUAUGUAGACCAAAGAAUCUGAGUCUGAGCAGCUGAGGUAAAGCAGCAGAGGAGAAGUGCUGUGAGCAGGCUGAGGAUUUGGGUGGCAUCUUCCGUCUGCUUUUUCCCCUGUUUUUUGGCAGGUGCUGCAUUCCUUUCCAGAGGGUUGAAGCUGCACAGCUAUGAGCAGUUUGAGAAAAGGCAAGAGAGUUAAGUGGUCCACUUGGGCUAAAUUGCUGAGGGUCCAUGCAACUGUGAUGUAUUACUUUGAAAGCUGGAGCAGAGCAAGUGAAUGCAGCUAUUUAGGGCUGUGGUCUCACGGAUGAAGUGUGUAUUAAACAGCUUUGUUUUGUUUGUGAAGGUAACAGAGCGGCAUGAAGUGAUUACAGGAACCUCGCAUUUAGGCAACAAGGCCACUGUCGAGGAUGGAUACUAAGCAUGGACCGUGAGCUGUGGCACCAUGAAAGCUAAGUAGUGGGACAGAUCUGUGGGGAGCAGAGUCCAUGUGUGUCCAAACGUUGGCAUAACGGGAGGGUUAGUCUGUGGGGAGUCAGCCUCGUGCAAGUGGAGGGAAUGAUACGUCUCACGACGUGUGCCCUGGCAAAGCAGCUCUGGGGUGAGUGGGUAGAGUUGUGCAGUAUGUCUAGUGUGUGUUCAUACGUGUUCCUUAGUUACCUGAUGUGUUGAUGUUUGUCUUGGCCUUCAUGUCUGAGAAGCCUCAGGCAUACUCAUCCUACUGCAAUCACAAUAGCCAUCCGUUGCGUCUCUGUGGCCUCCCGUUAUUGGCAUGGUGCCAAUUCCGACUUGUUUAGCAGCGUGACAUAGAAGCUCAAUGCUGUUGGUCUGGUUUAGCGUUGUAGGUGCAUUUGGCCAGUCUUUCUUGCAGCUCUGGCUUGGGCCUAACCAUCAGGUCUCAUCUCGAUGACUCUUUCUUGAGACUGCUUCCAGAGUACCUCCUGUGCCAUCCUAGUCUUCAGUCUUUCCCAGCAAUUUGUCUCCAUCGGUCACGGUGGGUUUAUCAGGCCAGGCCAGAGUGUGUGCAUCACGUGGCCUCGGCACUGUAACGCGUGCUGUCAGGCCGCGUCUUUUGGUCUGGUGUUUACUCUGUCUGGUAUUCUCGCAUCCUUAGGUCACGUUUGUAGUUUGUAUAGUGUGUGUGUGAGGUGGAGCUGCUUUGUCCGUUUGUAUAGCAAUUCUUGUUGAUGUUGGAAUGAUCCAAGCACGGGAUGACGUGUUGAUUAGCAUGGCCUGUUUGGGUGGAGGUUGCAUAAGCUGGUUUUGGGGAUAGCCUAUAGCUAUUGGUGAGCAAGUUCUAAAGUUCCUUAUUUUAUCUUUUGCAGGUGUCUAGGGCCAUUGGGAUUCUGGGAGCAAAUCCUUCCGUGAGGCUUGCUGGAACGUGCACUUCAAAGAACGGGAGGAGUAGAAGUGGUGCAAAGAGGGAAACGUAUCCCUCUGCAUGCAGUUAGGAAGGGUAAUGCUGUGAAAUCGUGUGGACUGGUGAAGUUGUGUUGAGGUGCACAGUGAUGCAGUUCCAGGGAUGGUUAUAGAAUUGGGGUGAUCUGCCACUCUGGCAGGUGAUGAAAUGGAUAUGUUUUGAGUGAGGGGUGGAAUGAGCAGAUGCCGAAUGAGUGUUAGUUUUGGAAUGUGUCUAUCCUUAUAGGUGUGGAUUACUUUUAUUUCAGGUUGUACUGAAUGUAGAGGUAGUUAAUGUUUCCUUAACAAUAAAUAAAAAACCCCCUCAA